UAGAUGUGCCAACACUGGGAAUUAUUUCCUAGGAAACCGUUUCAUUUGUUUCAUUUCUUUCAUUUGUGCUGUUUUGGAUUGUCUUGAGUGGUUAGGAACACCCAUAAAAAAAGGAUGUUAUAGAAAAUAUUCGUUAGAGCAUUGCUGCUCAGUGGGAGAAAUUUGUCCUCCGUUUGAUGAAGAAACAAAAUGCAUAGUUGACGGUAGAGAAUACAAAGAGGGUGAUCAAUUUUAUCCAAAGAACACAUGUUUUAAUUGUGUGUGUCAAAAAGGCUUUAAUGGUAAGUUUGAAGAACCGUUUUGUCGCAGAACAUGGUGUGGUGAACAGCUUGGAUCUGCUGGAAUCCACAGUCAAGACUCUUGUGUUCCAUAUUAUCGUGUAAAUACGAGUACAAAUAGUGAUAAGGUUCUAUGUUGUCCAAAUGGCUGGAUUUGUCCUGACGGGUCCGAAAUUAUUACAGGUGAUGACAAGUCAGAACAGUAGAUAACGAAUGGGGGGACAACACAACACAACCUUGACCUUGAGUUUGACCCCGCCCAUUUUCCCUCUCUUUCUUUCAAGGCCACUUGUUCUCUCUCUUACUUUUCAAGGCCAACCCCCCACUUCCCCCACCACUUCAAGGCCAAGGCAUUAUUGGACCUUGAUGUUUUCAAGGUCAAGGUUAUUCAUGCUACUCCCCACUUUUGCAAGGCCAACAACUCCUCACUCAUUCAAGAUGAAUCGCGCAAUUGUCCUUACUCAUUUUCCACCCCAAACUGUAUAAAAGUUAAUGUGUUGUGUUGUGUAACACAGUUCUUGUGUAUAUCUACUAUAACAAGAAAUUCUUUAAAAAUGGAACCCAUCAGAAAAAGUUCUAUUUAUAAUACUCCUGAGGAUAUCAUAGUUUGUCCAUACGACAAAAACCACAUUCUUCUUUGGUUUCGGCUCGAAAGGCACAUUUGGAAGUGCCAUCGGGCCGAUAAAGAAAAACAAAGGGCCUUACGUGAAGUGAUGAUGAAGGAAGAAGAGGAGAACUGGGAUCAUUUCAAUGAGCCCAGCUACCUCGACUUCUUAAAAUCUAAAAGGAAUCAUAAUGCCUUAAAUUAAAGAAGGCCGGGGUUCUUUCGUAAAAAUAGUGUAGAAUAAGUUUACCAAAGUAGUAGUAGUCGUAGUAAACUGUAAAUAUUAUAUUAUUGUAUAAAAAAAAUAAAAGUUGUAAAAAAA